UCUAACACUAUUAGUGGGUAAUUUGGGUGGGGUAAGCCUAUGGUUAGUCCCUUACACGGGGCAAGGCCACGACGGCCGGUUGGUAGGCCAAGGGGGCAAUGGGCCGAGAUCGGCAACUGGAAGCUCUGGGCUAUGGUGAUGUCUAGGGUGGGCAGUGGCGCUUAACUAGGACCCCCGCUGGAAACCCCAGAACUAGUUAAAGCGGCCCGAGAGGACGGACGCGGUGGUCGGUUGGUUAUAGGGGUAAAUGUAACUAGCUUAAGGUGCAUCCUGCGUGGAGUAGCCACGUAGUUCACUGGGUGCCUGCUCACAUGGGUAUAUAUGGCAAUGAAAUGGCUGAUAAAGCUGCAAAAAGAGCCACUGAGUUAGAAGUCUGCUGUCAAAGAAUUGUAACAUGGUCUUUUAUUAAAAGAAGAAUAAGAGAAUUAUGUUUACAAAAGUGGCAAGAUGUCUGGUUCAUGCAAAGAAAAAGUGUGCAUUAUUCCAGAUUUGAAACUAAGCCAAAGUGGAAGACUUGCUCAAUAA
rnacentral:sRNA from 1 species